UACGGAGGGUGAAAGCGUUAUCCGGAUUCACUGGGUUUAAAGGGUGCGUAGGCGGGCAUUUAAGUCAGUGGUGAAAUACCUGAGCUUAACUUGGGAACUGCCAUUGAUACUAUUUGUCUUGAAUGUCGUGGAGGUUAGCGGAAUAUGUCAUGUAGCGGUGAAAUGCUUAGAUAUGACAUAGAACACCUAUUGCGAAGGCAGCUAACUACGCGAAUAUUGACGCUGAGGCACGAAAGCGUGGGGAUCAAACAGG
rnacentral:rRNA from 1 species